GAUGAACGCUGGCGGCGUGCCUAAUACAUGCAAGUCGAGCGAACGGACGAGAAGCUUGCUUCUCUGAUGUUAGCGGCGGACGGGUGAGUAACACGUGGAUAACCUACCUAUAAGACUGGGAUAACUUCGGGAAACCGGAACUAAUACCGGAUGAUAUUUUGAACCGCAUGGUUCAAAAGUGAAAGACGGUCUUGCUGUCACGUAUAGAUGGAUCCGCGCUGCAUUAGCUAGUUGGUAAGGUAACGGCUUACCAAGGCAACGAUGCAUAGCCGACCUGAGAGGGUGAUCGGCCACACUGGAACUGAGACACGGUCCAGACUCCUACGGGAGGCAGCAGUAGGGAAUCUUCCGCAAAGGGCGAAAGCCUGACGGAGCAACGCCGCGUGAGUGAUGAAGGUCUUCGGAUCGUAAAACUCUGUUAUUAGGGAAGAACAUAUGUGUAAGUAACUGUGCACAUCUUGACGGUACCUAAUCAGAAAGCCACGGCUAACUACGUG
rnacentral:rRNA from 1 species